ACCUAGCAUACUGAGAAUUCUACA
rnacentral:siRNA from 1 species